rnacentral:rRNA from 3 species
CGUAACAAGGUCUCCGUAGGUGAACCUGCGGAGGGAUCAUUACACAAAUAUGAAGGCGGGCUGGAACCUCUCGGGGUUACAGCCUUGCUGAAUUAUUCACCCUUGUCUUUUGCGUACUUCUUGUUUCCUUGGUGGGUUCGCCCACCACUAGGACAAACAUAAACCUUUUGUAAUUGCAAUCAGCGUCAGUAACAAAUUAAUAAUUACAACUUUCAACAACGGAUCUCUUGGUUCUGGCAUCGAUGAAGAACGCAGCGAAAUGCGAUAAGUAGUGUGAAUUGCAGAAUUCAGUGAAUCAUCGAAUCUUUGAACGCACAUUGCGCCCUUUGGUAUUCCAAAGGGCAUGCCUGUUCGAGCGUCAUUUGUACCCUCAAGCUUUGCUUGGUGUUGGGCGUCUUGUCUCUAGCUUUGCUGGAGACUCGCCUUAAAGUAAUUGGCAGCCGGCCUACUGGUUUCGGAGCGCAGCACAAGUCGCACUCUCUAUCAGCAAAGGUCUAGCAUCCAUUAAGCCUUUUUUUCAACUUUUGACCUCGGAUCAGGUAGGGAUACCCGCUGAACUUAAGCAUAUCA